CUUGUGGAGCGCUAAUUACGGAUGAAACCAAUCUAAGCCUUUAAAAGAAAAAAAGGACGUACAGGAGGAAAUCCACAGCGUUUGACUGGACCUGCAGUUCCAAUUCAGGGACGCUUUCGUAUCAAUGGCGAGGCACUAAAAGCAGUGCCUAUAAGAACUAAAUGGUGAAUUCGUACUCUGGGAGUCAGAAAGUUCUCGUUACCCCAAAACCUAAUCAGAUCUCCACACCUUUGCUAUGCUGAGAGAAAUGCCAGCAGUUUCAUUAAGAACUUCUGUUCCUAAAUAAUUCCAUGGAUUUAUUUAGAAGAGCAGAGAAGAGGAAGAGGAGGAGAGGAAUGCCGCAAUUGCACCUUCCUCUCCCAACCCAAAAUAUCCAGGCUUGAAGAGUGGGAGCAAUGCCUGAAACUGCUCAGGAGUUGUGGGACAGCAAUAGGAUGGAAAAGUUUGACUCCUCAAGGUGUGGUCUGCAGAGAUGUCACAUGUGGGAAAAGAAAGGAUGGACAGGUGGAAAACAAACCAGGAAGAGGAAGAAUGCAGAAAACUCUCAAAAGAGCAACAAAUAUUGAGAGGUGUGAGACUCAACCAAACAUUAGGAACAGAGCUACAGAAGACUACAGGAAAUACCAUUCCUCAGAAAUUCAGACUGAGGCCACACAACAGCAGAGCCCAGCUGAUGCCAUCAACACAACCAGGAUUCUCUUUGCAUUCACCUGCAAGCAAACUUCUAUGUAAGUGAUGAGACUGGGACCAACACACAAACAAGAAGGAUCUGGGGACCCCCACGCUCCCUUCCAGAGCCAGCAGAGUUGGAUGAACUGCUACCUUAGCAUCUCCUCAGAGCUGGGCCAGCACAUCAAGGGAUAAGAGAAUUGAGUCCCGCCUUCAGCUCUGGCCUCGGCUUUCCAGGAACCAGUUGAGUGCAGCUACUUUCAUAAGAGGAAGCACAGGGGGAAAAAGAAAGCAAGCAAGUAGUGUACCUCCACCAGGGAGCACGGUGGAGGCACAGGGCUUGUAAGAGACCCGUCAUGAAGCUUGACUCCUUCUGCUCACACAGGUUUGGCAUUUAAGCUAAUUUGUAAGCAUUUAGGGCCUGACUCUGAUCUCCCUUUCACCGCUCACUGGAGCUGUCAAAGCACUUCCCAGCAGAAGUAAGGAAGGGAACCUGCCAGCUGGAUUUGUCCCUUUCUCCAUUCUUUUGUCCUGGUGGAUUUGGGCUUAAGUAAUUCUGACAAAACAAGGACCCCCAUGUCCUAGCAUGGGUUGUGUUGCUGAUAGUGGAGCAUCUUCAGGGAUGUAGAAUCCUUCCAGAUGGGAUGCCCUCCUCAAGGCUGACAUAUAGGGGAGGGUUUACACACUUUACUUUUCCACCUGUAGGGCUCAGCUCAAGGCUUGUGGAUACCGGUGAGUCCAUUCUAUCUCCCUAGGGGACACCAGCCCAAAUCCUAGUCAAUGAGGCCUAUUCCAAUAGCCAACAAGGCCUGCUCCAGUGAGUCUCAGGCUUCAGGCUUGCACGGCUCUGCUGAGGACCUCAUUUUUCCAUGGGUGGUCAUGGCACAUCUGUUAAUGGCAACUUGAACACGUCCACAGCAGUUAAGCAGUUUCACUUUCAGGCUCAGAUGUUGGUGUUCAAAGACUUUGUUCUUAUUCCAAUGACUGAUAGAGGACCUCUGUUUGGGUUGAUGCUGUAGUCUUUUAAGUACGCUUUCCAGAAAGCUGUAAGUCUCUAUUUUGAGAGCAGAGCAGAGAUCCUUCUGUUGAACCCAUUGUAUGCAUUCAAGAAGACAACACUUUGGUGGACAUCAACACAUUGAGUUCCUGCUUCCCAGGCAAGCAGGAUGCUUGUGGCAGCUGACAAAGGCAUGGGCAGUGCUGGUGCUGCAAGCCAUGAAUGAGACGAAGGUAUCCCAGAAUACCCUGGACAUCGGGCCGUACUUCCUGCUGGCUGGGAAGGACAAAAGGACAAAGCUGAAGGAGUGCCGGGGUCCCACCACCAGCUCUUGGAGGCACCAGUCUGCUACCAACAGCACUCCAACCCUCGGAGAAUGCUAAUAAGCCACUGAAGAGCUCAGCUUUCCUGCCAUAAUUCUAUAGCGCCGUCGA